rnacentral:rRNA from 1 species
UACGUAGGGUGCAAGCGUUAAUCGGAAUUACUGGGCGUAAAGCGUGCGCAGGCGGUCCGUUAAGACAGAUGUGAAAUCCCCGGGCUUAACCUGGGAACUGCAUUUGUGACUGCAUGGCUAGAGUUUGGCAGGAGGGGGGUAGAAUUCCACGGUUGUAGCAGUGAAAUGCGUAGAUAUGUGGGAGGAACACCGAUGGCGAAGGCAGCCCCCUGGGUCAAGACGUGACGCUCAUGCACGAAAGCGUGGGGAGCAAACAGGG